ensembl:snRNA U1 U1 spliceosomal RNA
GGUCUUACCUGGCAGGGGAGAUGGUGUGAUCAUGAAAGUGGUUUUUCCCAGGGUGAGCUUACCCAUUACAUUCUGAUAUGCUGAACCCCUGAUUUCCCCGAAUGUGGGAAACUCACUCGGCCGCAUAGUGUGUGGUAGUGGGGACUGUGUCAUGCUCUUCCCGG